rnacentral:rRNA from 1 species
ACGCUGGCGGCACGCCUAACACAUGCAAGUCGAACGCAGUAGCAAUACUGAGUGGCAGACGGGUGAGUAUAAUGUGGGAAUCUGCCUUUUGGUUCAGAAUAACUCGGGGAAACUUGAGCUAAUACCGGAUAAGCCCUUACGGGGAAAGAUUUAUCGCCAAAAGAUGAGCCCGCACUUGAUUAGCUAGUUGGUGAGGUAAUUGCUCACCAAGGCAACAAUCAAUAGCUGUUCUUAGAGGAAGACCAGCCACAUUGGGACUGAGACACGGCCCAGACUCCUACGGGAGGCAGCAGUGGGGAAUCUUGCACAAUGGGGGAAACCCUGAUGCAGCGAUGCCGCGUGAGUGAAGAAGGCCUUUGGGUUGUAAAACUCUUUCGUCGGGGAAGAAAAUGACUGUACCCGAAUAAGAAGGUCCGGCUAACUUCGUGCCAGCAGCCGCGGUAAUACGAAGGGACCUAGCGUAGUUCGGAAUUACUGGGCUUAAAGAGCUCGUAGGUGGUUAAAAAAGUUGGUGGUGAAAUCCCAAGGCUUAACCUUGGAACUGCCAUCAAAACUUUUUAGCUUGAGUGUGAUAGAGGAAAGUGGAAUUUCUAGUGUAGAGGUGAAAUUCGUAGAUAUUAGAAAGAACACCAAAUGCGAAGGCAACUUUCUGGAUCACUACUGACACUGAGGAGCGAAAGCAUGGGUAGCGAAGAGGAUUAGAUACCCUCGUAGUCCAUGCUGUAAACGAUGUGUGCUAGACGUUGGAAAUUUUAUUUUCAGUGUCGCAGCAAAAGCGUUAAGCACACCGCCUGGGGAGUACGAC